CUCCUUUAACAUGCUGCAGGAUUGUGGGAACUGCUCCAGAUUGUUCCACGCCAAGCGUAUAGAAAACACAAACCUAUUGUUUGUGGUGGCAGAGACGCUGCCCUGCAGCUCCUGCGAGAUCGAGAAACUCCUACCUGUCAGAACAAAGUCUCAAGAAGAGAAUCCGUGUGAGGUGUUAAACUCCGCCCGC